rnacentral:rRNA from 1 species
UGGGUAACCUGCCUCAAAGAGGGGAAUAGCCUCCCCGAAAAGGGGAGAUUAAUACCGCAUAAUAUGUUUAGGUCGCAUGACUUUAACAUCAAAGGAUUUUCUUUUAGAAAUUCCACUUUGAGAUGGACCCCGCGGCGCAUUAGCUAGUUGGUGAGGUAACGGCUCACCAAGGCAACGAUGCGUAGCCGACCUGAGAGGGUGAUCGGCCACAUUGGAACUGAGACACGGUCCAGACUCCGUAGGGAGG